rnacentral:tRNA from 1 species
GGGGAUUUAGCUCAGUGGUAGAGCGCUUGCCUAGCAAGCGCAAGUGCAAGGCCCUGGGUUCGGUCCCCAGCUCCG